AGCGAACGCUGGCGGCAGGCCUAAAACAUGCAAGUCGAACGGAUCCUUCGGGAUUAGUGGCGGACGGGUGAGUAACACGUGGGAACGUGCCUUUUGGUUCGGAACAACUCAGGGAAACUUGAGCUAAUACCGAAUGUGCCCUUCGGGGGAAAGAUUUAUCGCCAUUAGAGCGGCCCGCGUCUGAUUAGCUUGUUGGUGAGGUAAAGGCUCACCAAGGCGACGAUCAGUAGCUGGUCUGAGAGGAUGAUCAGCCACACUGGGACUGAGACACGGCCCAGACUCCUACGGGAGGCAGCAGUUAGGAAUCUUGCGCAAUGGGGGAAACCCUGACGCAGCCAUGCCGCGUGAAUGAUGAAGGUCUUAGGAUUGUAAAAUUCUUUCAGCGGGGACGAUAAUGACGGUACCCGCAGAAGAAGCCCCGGCUAACUUCGUG
rnacentral:rRNA from 1 species